CAACUCCGCUUCAACAGCUUAACAGACAGCUAACCAGCGAGGAAAAACUAAAACUCAUGACAGCUCCGAUGUCAAAUUGGUGCAGCUACCCUGUGGGAAAAUGUCAACAUUGUGAUGAAAAGAGUGCUCACAAAUAGCCUCAUGUCUAUACUGAACAUGGAUGGGACUGGUGACAAGCUGCCUUUCAGAAGAAUUGAACUUUAUAAGGUCGCAAUAGGUAAUUAUAUUUUCUAUUUGUGCACCUACACCACCUAUAGCUCUAUUCUCUACAUGAUUUUUAUUUUGAUCAGUAUGUGCAAGAUAAAUGGCAAUUGC